rnacentral:rRNA from 1 species
CUACGGGUUGCUGCAGUGAGGAAUAUUGCACAAUGGGGGGAACCCUGAUGCAGCAACGCCGCGUGGAGGAUGACGCAUUUCGGUGUGUAAACUCCUUUUAUAUGUCAAGAAAAUGACGGUAGCAUAUGAAUAAGCACCGGCUAACUCCGUGCCAGCAGCCGCGGUAAUACGGAGGGUGCAAGCGUUACUCGGAAUCACUGGGCGUAAAGGACGCGUAGGCGGGUUGGAAAGUCAGGUGUGAAAUCCUACAGCUUAACUGGAGAACUGCACUUGAAACUUCUAAUCUAGAGUAUGGGAGGGGGAGAUGGAAUUAGGGGUGUAGGGGUAAAAUCCGUAGAUGUCACUAGGAAUACCUAAAGCGAAGGCGAUCUCCUGGAACAUUACUGACGCUAAGGCGUGAAAGCGUGGGGAGCAAACAGGAUUAGAUACCCGGGUAGUC